CCUCAUCUCCUCGCAUAGCCAUCUUACCAUCUCACAGCACCUCAAGCAGAAGGCGAAGGCGACACAAUAAGAUGAGAAAACCGGACGUCAAGAGGUGAACACCUCGCCAAAGUUACAAGAUUGUGAAUGACAGAGGCAGAACUUGAAUCCAGCUCUGGCUACAGCCUGAGCCUUCAUCCUCUUGUUAUCUGCUGCCACCAUGUACAAGUUGUCCAUGAAGGCUGAUGCCAAGGCAGUUAGCCUGAACAUCAUGCUCUGGGGAACCAAAGGCUUAAAUUGUUAACUCCAAAGCAGGUAACAUGAAGAAAAUUCCAUUUGGG